CUUGUUUGGUUGCAGAGCCAAACCAGACUGUUAUGGGGGUGCAGAUGACAGACUCAUUAUAUCUACAUAAUAUCGGGAUAUUUACAUAUCCCUGGUGAUAUGUAAAUCGAGGCACAAUUUCCCUCUUAAACGAGGCAAUUGGCUCAUCUUUUAAAGUUACACCCACCAACACAAAGUUGGUGCACUUCUCCAAGUCCUUUACCAUCAAUCCCUCUUCAAUCUUUAGAAAAGGCCAAAAUGAUCCUGUGGCUCAACGUGUUGUCCAUACUAGCGGUCCUCAGAGGUGUCCAUUCUCAGGUCCAGUUGGUGGAGUCUGGAGGGGCUGUGAGAAGGCCUGGAGAGUCCCUCCAUCUCUCCUGUCAAGCCUCUGGGUUCAUCUUCCAGAACUUUGGGAUGAACUGGUUUAGGAAGGCUCCAGGAAAAAACCUGGAAUGGCUUUCACAUAUCUUUGCUGAUUCCCGUGAAAGGUUCUACUCAAACAAAGUGAAGGGACGCUUCACCAUCUCCAAGGACAAUGUCAAAAGCCAGCUGCAUUUUCAAAUGAACAACCUCAAACCAGAGGACACGGCCGUCUAUUAUUGUACAAGACACACAGUGAGAGGAACCACGGCAAAAACUGCCCAUUUACAUAACACGGCUGAGCAUUUCUUUGAAACCUUCGAAUUCUAACUACGGGAGAAGAAAUGAUACAACAACAUAUAGAUUGAAAGCCUGAACUGUUCUUAUUGGGUAUCUUACCAGAGAAUUUUAGUAAAGAAAAUAUACUGUAUAUUUGAUGAUACAUGUAAUAAUUGUGUCAGCGUUCCAGAAAACCCCUCCUGCAGAAAAGACUC